UACGUAGGGUGCAAGCGUUGUCCGGAAUUAUUGGGCGUAAAGAGCUCGUAGGCGGUUUGUCGUCGUCUGCUGUGAAAACCCGAGGCUCAACCUCGGGCCUGCAGUGGGUACGGGCAGACUAGAGUGCGGUAGGGGAGAUUGGAAUUCCUGGUGUAGCGGUGGAAUGCGCAGAUAUCAGGAGGAACACCAAUGGCGAAGGCAGAUCUCUGGGCCGUAACUGACGCUGAGGAGCGAAAGCAUGGGGAGCGAACAGG
rnacentral:rRNA from 1 species